UCUUAGUCAGUGAAGGAGAAGAGCUGUCAACAGAAUCUACUACUUCCCAGCAGGAGGAGCAAGCAGAGACCAGUAUAUUAGGGAAGGCUGAGGAAAGGUUAAGUGUUCCAUCCCUUUUACAAUUUAGACAUGAGAGAAAUGGGCUUUUAAAAGCAACACCUGAGAACAUAGUAUACAAGCUUCUUAACUUUGCAGUACUUUUGCUAGAAGCAAUGUCUCACUUUGUGGUGAAACUCUGGACGCAUUCAGAUGUGUUUACUCUGGAUUGUAUCAUGACUUCUGCAUUUGGAUUUUCCUUUGAGCCUUGGACUCAGAAAUGCUAUAACUGCAAUACCAUGUGCUGAGGACGAGCAACCAGAAGUUAUGGUUACAAACAUUGCCAGACUUUGAGAACAUGUUGACCAAACAAGAUGACCAAACAUGCAGAAAGAAGAGGUAUAGUAGUAAUGCAGGAUUUCAACUACUCUGAUAUUCAUUGGAAAACAAACUUUGCCAAGAGUAGAAAGCUUUUAUAAUAAACCAUUUUUUAAUAAUUGCAGAAAUCUGUUCCUGGUUUGAAAGUCUUAUUUCCUGUUUCAUUGGGUUGUCUUUACUUUGAAAGUCAUUGUUCUACUUCAGAAACUUUGUUUUUGUGGCUGAAACCUUGUUAAAUUGGUGGACAGUGUCCCAGGAAACCAUAAUGUGCC
rnacentral:lncRNA from 11 species